rnacentral:rRNA from 1 species
UACGUAGGGGGCAAGCGUUGUCCGGAUUUAUUGGGCGUAAAGCGCACGCAGGCGGUCUCUUAAGUUUUGAGUGACAGGUGGUGGCUCAACUACCACAGGCCUUGGAAAACUGGGAGACUUGAGGACUUCAGAGGGAUGCGGAAUUCCAGGUGGAGCGGUGAAAUGCGUAGAUAUCGGGAGGAACACCAGUGGCGAAGGCGAUCUUCUGGACGGAUACUGACGCUGAGGCGCGAAAGCUAGGGGAGCAAACGGG